rnacentral:rRNA from 1 species
GCUCAGGACGAACGCUGGCGGCGUGCCUAAUACAUGCAAGUCGAGCGGACCGAUGGGAGCUUGCUCCUUUAGGUUAGCGGCGGACGGGUGAGUAACACGUGGGCAACCUGCCCUGCAGACUGGGAUAACUUCGGGAAACCGGAGCUAAUACCGGAUAACACCGAAAACCGCAUGGUUUUCGGUUGAAAGGCGGCUUUUAGCUGUCACUGCAGGAUGGGCCCGCGGCGCAUUAGCUAGUUGGUGAGGUAACGGCUCACCAAGGCGACGAUGCGUAGCCGACCUGAGAGGGUGACCGGCCACACUGGGACUGAGACACGGCCCAGACUCCUACGGGAGGCAGCAGUA